CGUGAAAUUCCGUCGGAAUCUGGGAGGACCAUCUCCUAAGGCUAAAUACUCUCUAGUGACCGAUAGUGAACCAGUACCGUGAGGGAAAGGUGAAAAGCACCCCGGAAGGGGAGUGAAAUAGAACCUGAAACCGUGUGCUUACAAGUAGUCAGAGCCCGUUAAUGGGUGAUGGCGUGCCUUUUGUAGAAUGAACCGGCGAGUUACGAUUUGAUGCAAGGUUAAGCAGUAAAUGUGGAGCCGUAGCGAAAGCGAGUCUGAAUAGGGCGUUUAGUAUUUGGUCGUAGACCCGAAACCAGGUGAUCUACCCUUGGUCAGGUUGAAGUUCAGGUAACACUGAAUGGAGGACCGAACCGACUUACGUUGAAAAGUGAGCGGAUGAACUGAGGGUAGCGGAGAAAUUCCAAUCGAACCUGGAGAUAGCUGGUUCUCUCCGAAAUAGCUUUAGGGCUAGCCUCAAGUGAUGAUUAUUGGAGGUAGAGCACUGUUUGGACGAGGGGCCCCUCUCGGGUUACCGAAUUCAGACAAACUCCGAAUGCCAAUUAAUUUAACUUGGGAGUCAGAACAUGGGUGAUAAGGUCCGUGUUCGAAAGGGAAACAGCCCAGACCACCAGCUAAGGUCCCAAAAUAUAUGUUAAGUGGAAAAGGAUGUGGCGUUGCCCAGACAACUAGGAUGUUGGCUUAGAAGCAGCCAUCAUUUAAAGAGUGCGUAAUAGCUCACUAGUCGAGUGACACUGCGCCGAAAAUGUACCGGGGCUAAACAUAUUACCGAAGCUGUGGAUUGUCCUUUGGACAAUGGUAGGAGAGCGUUCUAAGGGCGUUGAAGCAUGAUCGUAAGGACAUGUGGAGCGCUUAGAAGUGAGAAUGCCGGUGUGAGUAGCGAAAGACGGGUGAGAAUCCCGUCCACCGAUUGACUAAGGUUUCCAGAGGAAGGCUCGUCCGCUCUGGGUUAGUCGGGUCCUAAGCUGAGGCCGACAGGCGUAGGCGAUGGAUAACAGGUUGAUAUUCCUGUACCACCUAUAAUCGUUUUAAUCGAUGGGGGGACGCAGUAGGAUAGGCGAAGCGUG
rnacentral:rRNA from 1 species